rnacentral:rRNA from 1 species
GACGAGCGCUGGCGGCGUGCUUAACACAUGCAAGUCGAACGAGACGAUUGAAAGCUUGCUUUUAAAAGUCGAGUGGCAAACGGGUGAGUAACGCGUAGACAACCUGCCUUUGAGAUGGGGACAACAGUUCGAAAGGACUGCUAAUACCGAAUGUUGUAUAUUUUCCACAUGGAAGAUAUAUUAAAGAUGGCCUCUAUUUAUAAGCUAUCGCUCAAAGAUGGGUCUGCGUCUGAUUAGCUAGUUGGUGGGGUAACGGCCUACCAAGGCGACGAUCAGGAGCCGGUCUUAGAGGAUGAACGGCCACAUUGGGACUGAGACACGGCCCAGACUCCUACGGGAGGCAGCAGUGGGGAAUCUUCCACAAUGGACGAAAGUCUGAUGGAGCAACGCCGCGUGAGUGAAGAAGGGUUUCGGCUCGUAAAGCUCUGUUGUCGGGGACGAAUGUGCAGUAUUUGAAUAAAGUACUGCAAUGACGGUACCUGACGAGGAAGCCACGGCUAACUACGUGCCAGCAGCCGCAGUAA